rnacentral:rRNA from 1 species
UACGUAGGGGGCAAGCGUUGUCCGGAAUCAUUGGGCGUAAAGCGCGUGUAGGCGGCUCGGUAAGUCCGCUCUGAAAGUCCAGGGCUCAACCCUGGGAUGCGGGUGGAUACUGCCGAGCUCGAGUCCGGAAGAGGCGAGUGGAAUUCCUGGUGUAGCGGUGAAAUGCGCAGAUAUCAGGAAGAACACCCGUGGCUAAGGCGGUUCUCUAGUACGGUACUGACGCUGAGACGCGAAAGCGUGGGGAGCGAACAGG